UUUAGGUUAGGUUAUGUUAUGUUAGUUUAGUUUAAGCUAGGCUAGGCAAGGCUAGGCUAGGCUAGGCUAGGUUAUGUUAGGUUAGUUUAUGUUAGUUAGGUCAAGGUAGGAGAUUUAUGUCAAGAUAGGAUACUAACGUCACUUUAGUUUAUGUAUGUUAAGUUAAUUAGUUCAAGUUAUGUUAGCAGGGAUUUGUUAUGUUCAUUAUGUCAUGUUAGGUUAUUUAGGUUAAGUUAUGUUAGUUAUGUGAAGUUAUGUUAUGUGAAAUUAUGUUAGUUAGGUCAAGGAAGGUAAUUAUGUCAGGUAAGGUUGGUGAGGUUGAGUUAUGUUUGAUGAUCUGAUUGAUAAAUAUAAAAUAAAUUAAGAAAAUAAUAAUAAGUAUCUGUGUUAAGGGUGUUCAGAAAAGUGGGGGAGGUGGUUGGGGUUCAAGUCCUGCAAUCAAUGUGCAAAGUUGUCUGAGAAAAUUGUUCCAAAGUAACAGUAUUAAAGCCCGCGGUUUAACCGCGGGUGGGCCUCUGGUGUUUUCAUUAAUCAAGAACGAAAGUUAGAGGUUCGAAGGCGAUCAGAUACCGCCCUAGUUCUAACCAUAAACGAUGCCAGCUAGCGAUCCGCCGAAGUUCCUCCGAUGACUCGGCGGGCAGCUUCCGGGAAACCAAAGCUUUUGGGUUCCGGGAGAAGUAUGGUUGCAAAGCUGAAACUUAAAGGAAUUGACGGAAGGGCACCACCAGGAGUGGAGCCUGCGGCUUAAUUUGACUCACCACAGGAAACCUCAAAAGGCCCGGACACCAGAAGGAUUGACAGAUUGAGAGCACUUUCUUGAUUCGGGGGGGUGGGGGUGGUGCAUGGCCGUUCUUAGUUGGUGGAGCGAUUUGUCUGGUUAAUUCCGAUAACGAACGAGACUCGGGCCUGCUAACUAGUCGCUUCCGGUAUCCCUUCGUGCUACCGGCGACAAAUUAUCUUCUUAGAGGGACAGGCGGCUUCUAGCCGCACGAGAUUGAGCAAUAAUAGGUAUGUGAUGCCCUUAGAUGUUCUGGGCCGCACGAGCGCUACACUGAAGAAAUCAGCGUGUUCUCCUAGCCCGAAAGGGCCGGGUAACCUGUUGAAUCUCCUUCGUGCUAGGGAUUGGGGCUUGCAAAUGUUCCCCAUGAAACGAGGAAUUCCCAGUAAGCGCGAGUCAUAAGCUCGUGUUGAUUACAUCCCUGCCCUUUGUACACACCGCCCGUCGCUACUACCGAUUGAAUGAUUUAGUGAGGUCUUCGUGCCGGUGCGCGAUGGUUCGCUCGUCGAGUCGUUGAUGUUGCUAGAAAGAUGACCAAACUUGAUCGUUUAGAGGAAGUAAAAGUCGUAACAAGGUUUCCGUAGGUGAACCUGCGGAAG
rnacentral:rRNA from 1 species